UAUCUAAUUAAUCUGUUAUUUAUAAGGUUUCAAAUGAUGGGUAGAUUUUUAUUAAGAACAGUGUAUUGGUGUAAAAAACUGAAUAAUAAUCUUGUUCCUCAAAAUCUCUCCAGCAUUGUAAAAAGACAC